rnacentral:rRNA from 1 species
UACGUAGGUGGCAAGCGUUGUCCGGAUUUACUGGGCGUAAAGGGCGUGCAGGCGGUUUGGUAAGUGCAGGGUGAAAGCUCCCGGCUCAACUGGGAGAGGUCCUUGCAUACUGGCGAACUCGAGGGAGGCAGAGGAAAGUGGAAUUCCCGGUGUAGUGGUGAUAUGCGUAGAUAUCGGGAGGAACACCUGUGGCGAAGGCGGCUUUCUGGGCCUUUACUGACGCUGAGACGCGAAAGCGUGGGGAGCGAACAGG